rnacentral:rRNA from 1 species
UACGUAGGGUGCGAGCGUUAAUCGGAAUUACUGGGCGUAAAGCGUGCGCAGGCGGUUUUGUAAGACAGAUGUGAAAUCCCCGGGCUCAACCUGGGAACUGCGUUUGUGACUGCAAGACUUGAGUAUGGUCAGAGGGGGGUAGAAUUCCACGGUGUAGCAGUGAAAUGCGUAGAGAUGUGGAGGAACACCGAUGGCGAAGGCAGCCCCCUGGGCCAAUACUGACGCUCAUGCACGAAAGCGUGGGGAGCAAACAGG